UUAACCGCCACUUCAGUCUCAUUCCGGUUUAUACA
rnacentral:sRNA from 1 species